CACAAUUGAAAGUAUGUAGUAUGAAAUAUAUAUGUAAUAUGCAGUAUGUAGAACAUAGUAUACAUUUUAUUUCAAGUUUUCAAAAAUCUUGAAAUUUUUACCACAGCAUUGCAACAUAAUAUAAGAUGGUUCAACGAUGUGAUCCGAAAAAUACUUCUCGUGCCCGUGGCAAAAAGAAAAGAAUCUCAAUUCGCCAGUGGACAUAUAUAAGCUCCUGUUUUUCUUUUCUUGCGACCGCUGCGCCACAACAUUACAACCAUAAUAUUGUCAUGAUUUUGUGGUAAAAAGAAUGAAAACUUUUACACUGUCCAAUCCUAAACUAGCGUACGAAUUAGCCUGCAUACCCAAAAAUAAAAUUAUAUAUAUGCUAGCUCCACCGUGAGUUUUUCUUUUCUUUUUCACAAAUCAUCAAUUAUGCGCUUACCUUCAUUACUACUUCCGUUCCUAAAUGUAAGAUGUUUUAACUUUGUAUUAAGUCAAACUUUUUAAAAAUUGACCAAAUUUAUACAAAAAUUUACCAACAUCUAUAACUCUAAAUUAGUUUGAUUAAAUCCGUCAUAUUAUAUAUCUUCAUAGUAUAUUUAUUUGGAGUGGUAGACGUUGGUAGAUUUUCUCUAUAUAUAUCAUAUAUUAUCUCUAUCUCUUCUCUAGAGAUCUCCAGUACUCCCUUUUCAUCGUCCAAUUGUUUUGAACCGUCAGAUCUAGUGGACGCCUUCAGAUCGUCCCCUCUCGGUCCACGCCGCCUCGUAUUUUCCUGCGACCGCUGCGCCACCUCACCUCUGCCUCUGUUCGCUGCCUCACCUCCGCGGCGCGCGCCUCCUCUCCCCCUCCACCGCCACCUCAUCUCCCCCUCCGACCACCGCCUCCGCUCUCCAGCACACUGGAGGGCUAGCGGCGCGGAGCGCGUGCGACGGCGGUUCCGGCGACUCGCACGUCCUAGAGGUCGUGGCCAGGGCUUGGCCACUCCGACGGCCAGCUGCCCAGGAGUUCCUCCACUUCCUCUGCGCUGGACAACCAAUCGGCACGCAGCAACGAGCAAAGUGGGGCGCCAAGGUUAUUGCAAUCUUUUGGUGCAGCAAUGCAUCCCGGCCUCUCUUCCUCCUGUCCAAUUACUUUUUGUGAUGAUUCUCGUCCAAUUAUUUUGAUGGUCACUCUAGAAAUAAUGUUCUUAGAUUUUAGGUUGUUUUAGUAUUCUCAAAUUUAUGAUUUUGCAGGCCACUCCACCUGGAUUAGUAGUCAGAAUGUUGACGCAUGAUUAAAGUACUGAGUUGCCUUUGCGUUACAUUACACUAGAUUGCUUGCAUUAGGGAAUUUUACCAUGACUUGUAUACUGAAUAAACAAAAGAAUUUCUAACAAACCUGACUGAUUUCUUGAUUGCAACAUUGAGUUGUUCUUUUUGGUGGUGAAAUAUUGAAGGGGGACAGAGGUUCAGCGAGUUUUCUGGAAGUCUGAAUUUGACUGGUGUGUUCAUAAUGUAGCUCGUCCAAAAAAAGACUGCUAUAUACAGUACUUCAGUCUAAACUUUGUGUCUUUCUAAUGUGUUGGAACAGGACCUUAAGGCCCUUCGAAUCUAAUUAUUUGAUUCUUGUUGUUACUAGCCGGUAAAAUCCAUAUCUUUUCGUCGUUUAGAUUUCAGUAUUCGAUUUCAGCUAAAUCUUUGAUAUUCUAAUUCAAAUCAUUCUGUAAUUGUGCACUCAUGGGCCUGAAUCCACGAGCACGCAACACCUCAAACAGAAAGGGCCAGACCAUCGAGUCAAAAGUCCGAGAGCUAUAUCUAACUUAAGGAGGAUCGCUGGGAUUUUUCUGUGAUGAAGUGUCUUAAUCGCUUGUUGAACCACCCAGAAGUUGUCAUGAAUGACACGAUCAUGCAUGAACGCGCUUUGAUUGUGACUGAUCAGGUUAGGGAGGCGGCCACUGAGCCUAAUGCCUAAUCGCCAAAAUCUUAGAGAAUAUUUUCCCGAAAUUAUGGACAAGGCUGAUAGGACAGAAAUUGGACAUGGACUCGGCACCGUCUACUUUAGGGAUUAGAUACAUAAAGGGCCUGGUUAAGAGAGCCGAAGCCUCUAGCCUGGAGGUGGAACAAAGAGUUUAGGGCUCCCGGGACAUCACUUUGAUUGCAUGCCAACACUUUUGAUAGAAGAGAAGCGGGAAGCCAUUGGGCCUCAGGGCUUUAUCAACCGGCAUGCAACAAAUCAGCUUCCAAAAUUCCUGCUCAGACCACUCCACCUACAGGCCCGCUAAGUCGAGAACAGAGAGGUCAAAGCGCCUAAAAGUUCAGGGAGCGAGAUCAAGCCUUGGGAGCGCAGAGCAAAUCCACAAAGAAAGUGUGUGCCUCUCUCUCCAGGUCCUUUUGGGAAGAAAGAAUCCCCUCCUCCGAGACCAGGUGCGGGCUGAAGUUUUUCUUUCAGCACAUGGCAGCCUGGACAUGGAAAAAUCUAAUAUUGAAAUUCCCCUCUUUGAGCCAAAAAGCUUCGAACGCUUGCGCGUCAGGAUGCGCUCGAGCGAGGCGAGAGCGAGACACAACAAAUCGAACAGCUUGCGAAACCCAGAUUCUGCUGCAGAGAGCACGCCCGUGUCAUGGGCGUUAAGAAUCGAGGCGGAGAAUAAGCUCAUGGGCCAUGUAAAGCUACAGCUUGAUGUUGCCCACCUUGCACUCGCUACAACAACAAAGGCCAUCGGCUGUCGCACAUCCAGAAGCCUAGAGGGAGAAACCCACUGGUAUCCACUGGCGUCCACAAUCGCUAAACUUCAGUCAGGAAGCCUGGCAGCGAAGGGCAGAAAAAAUGAAGUGGAACCACCUUUUGACAUGAGCCGCGAGAGCUAAGCUCAUGAGCAGGGGGGAGUUAUAGGACACCAAGGCCUCCUAUGGGAGUUGAUAACGCUCGCUUGAUUGAUUUCUUUUGUGGUAUGAGAGCUACCUUCUCCACACGUCUAGUGUUCAUGGCAGCGAGCUCCUACUCGGAUUAUAUUUAAAAAAGUUCAUGUACUAUGCAUGCUAGUAUUUCAUAAGGAAACGGAUAUAAUUUUCAUGGAAGUAGGUAGUUGAAUAUUUGUUGGAUCAAGGGGGGUUUACUUA